AGCAUGUCAUCUAUAACUGAGGCUCUGACAAGAGGGGUUGUCAGGAUUUGCCUUAAUGGGGAAGUGAUUGACCUUUGCUCGUAAUUAUCAAAACAAGGGGAAGGAAAGUGACUUGUGAGGCAGCUGCCACUUCAUCUGCUUUCCAACUUCAGAGAAAGCAGGAAAGAGAGGUCUCUUUAAAUCUGAGUGCAGAAGACACAGCCCACAUGAACACAAAGCUUUACUAUAAACUGGGAAUCUGAAGUAAUACAUACCCUCUGAAGAAGUAUUCUGUUGUGAGGAUAUGCUGAUCUGUAUAGUUAGGAACUGUUACCUUAUUGAACUGGUUUCAUAUCUGCAUUACAUACGACAC
rnacentral:lncRNA from 1 species